rnacentral:rRNA from 1 species
GUAGGUGGCAAGCGUUGUCCGGAAUUAUUGGGCGUAAAGCGCGCGCAGGCGGUUCUUUAAGUCUGAUGUGAAAGCCCACGGCUCAACCGUGGAGGGUCAUUGGAAACUGGAGAACUUGAGUACAGAAGAGGAAAGCGGAAUUCCACGUGUAGCGGUGAAAUGCGUAGAGAUGUGGAGGAACACCAGUGGCGAAGGCGGCUUUCUGGUCUGUAACUGACGCUGAGGCGCGAAAGCGUGGGGAGCAAACAGGAUUAGAUACCCUGGUAGUCCACGCCGUAAACGAUGAGUGCUAAGUGUUAGGGGGUAUCCGGCCCCUUAGUGCUGCAGCUAACGCAUUAAGCACUCCGCCUGGGAGUACGGCCGCAAGGCUG